rnacentral:lncRNA from 1 species
CAAGAACCUCAAAUCUCUCCGAUGUGGGACAACUCAACAGAGAAUGAAGUCAAGUCAUUCACACAAAUCACCUUCACACAAAUUUCAAAAUGAACUAAAAUUAUUCAUUCACCUACCUGAAAUCCAUACAACAACAAAAUAGAACAGAGUUCUGGGUUCUUGUUUUCCAUGUGACUAUCAGGAAAAUUCCCGCUUCUUGGUAAUACGAACCUUUUUAAGUUUAACAAACCUCUUUAG